UACGGGAGGCAGCAGUGGGGAAUAUUGCACAAUGGGCGCAAGCCUGAUGCAGCCAUGCCGCGUGUAUGAAGAAGGCCUUCGGGUUGUAAAGUACUUUCAGUCGUGAGGAAGGUGUUAAGGUUAAUAACCUUAGCAAUUGACGUUAGCGACAGAAGAAGCACCGGCUAACUCCGUGCCAGCAGCCGCGGUAAUACGGAGGGUGCGAGCGUUAAUCGGAAUUACUGGGCGUAAAGGGCACGCAGGCGGUUAAUUAAGUUGGAUGUGAAAUCCCCGGGCUUAACCUGGGAAUGGCAUUCAAGACUGGUUAGCUAGAGUCUUGUAGAGGGGGUAGAAUUCCGAUGUGUAGCGGUGAAAUGCGUAGAGAUGUGGAGGAUACCGGUGGCGAAGGCGGCCCCUGGGACAAAGACUGACGCUCAUGUGCGAAAGCGUGGGGAGCGAAACAGGAUUAGAUACC
rnacentral:rRNA from 1 species